ACACAGGGGGAUAACAGUUAGAAAUGACUGCUAAUACCGCAUAAGCGCACAGUCUCGCAUGGGACAGUGUGAAAAACUGAGGUGGUGUGAGAUGGAUCCGCGUCUGAUUAGGCAGUUGGCGGGGUAACGGCCCACCAAACCAACGAUCAGUAGCCGGCCUGAGAGGGUGAACGGCCACAUUGGGACUGAGACACGGCCCAAACUCCUACGGGAGGCAGCAGUGGGGAAUAUUGCACAAUGGGGGAAACCCUGAUGCAGCGACGCCGCGUGAAGGAAGAAGUAUUUCGGUAUGUAAACUUCUAUCAGCAGGGAAGAAAGUGACGGUACCUGACUAAGAAGCCCCGGCUAACUACGUGCCAGCAGCCGCGGUAAUACGUAGGGGGCAAGCGUUAUCCGGAUUUACUGGGUGUAAAGGGAGCGUAGGCGGCGAUGCAAGUCAGAAGUGAAAGCCCAGGGCUUAACCCUGGGACUGCUUUGGAAACUGUUAGACUAGAGUGCUGGAGAGGUAAGUGGAAUUCCUAGUGUAGCGGUGAAAUGCGUAGAUAUUAGGAGGAACACCAGUGGCGAAGGCGGCUUACUGGACAGUAACUGACGUUGAGGCUCGAAAGCGUGGGAGCAAACAGGAUUAGAUACCCUGGUAGUCCACGCUGUAAACGAUGAAUACUAGGUGU
rnacentral:rRNA from 1 species